rnacentral:rRNA from 1 species
UAAUACGGAGGGUGCAAGCGUUAAUCGGAAUUACUGGGCGUAAAGCGCGCGUAGGCGGUUUGGUCAGUCAGAUGUGAAAGCCCUGGGCUCAACCUGGGAACUGCAUUUGAUACUGCUGAACUAGAGUAUGGUAGAGGUAAGUGGAAUUCCAGGUGUAGCGGUGAAAUGCGUAGAUAUCUGGAGGAACAUCAGUGGCGAAGGCGACUUACUGGACCAAUACUGACGCUGAGGUGCGAAAGCGUGGGUAGCAAACAGGAUUAGAUACCCUGGUAGUCCACGCCGUAAACGAUGUCAACUAGCCGUUGGAUCCAUUUAAGGGUUUAGUGGCGCAGCUAACGCGAUAAGUUGACCGCCUGGGGAGUACGGUCGCAAGGCUA